CAGUAAUAAAUCUGUACGCCUACUCUCCCUGCCCAAAGCCUUGAGAUGAAAGCGUGAUUAAAACGUGAGCCCAACAAGAAAUGCAGACAUAAACAAAGAGAUUCACACAUAGGCAGACUUUGAGUCACCCACCAGCUCCAGCGUUGGCGGCUGGGGUGGACGUGGCGGUAGCCCCACCUUCAGCUGCGGUGGCAGAGGCCUCAGUGGCAGGAGCAGGUGUUGCAAAGGCAUCUGAGGUUCACACAAACCCCAGGAGAGGAUAGAGACACCCAGAGAAACAGAUGAAAACAUAAAGAUGAAAAGAAAAUCAAGUCAAGAAACACGAGGAGGAAAAGAGAACAUCAGGAAAAUAGAGGGUUGAGCUUCCCAGAGUGAUUCUUUCAUAGAGAAUUUUCUGGAAGCCCACUGACCUCCCAACAGAUCCAUAUUGGCGGCGCCAGGAGAGGUGGCGGCUGCUGUACUAGUGGGAGGAGCUAGAGAGACUCCGGGUUCUGCCGCUGCAGGAGUGGGCGUUGCUGCUGCAGAGGAGGGGGCGGGCUCUGCCGUGAGGGUGGGUUCAGAUAGCAAGGAAUCGCCCAUUUCUACCCGUACCAACGGGGUGUUCAAAAUCCCCAAAGAAAGGUACCAAAAUAAACCCCAAAAGAGCAACCAAAAAAGCCAGUUGAGUCACCGUUACAACAGUGAACAAAAGCAAGCCAAAACAAAAGUCCAAUUCAAACCAAACCCAAUCAAGAUUUUUGAAAUUGACCGACCAAAGCAAAAUCCAAAUUUUAACCAAAUUAAAGUUGAAAAAUUAUCCAACGCCAUCCGGUCAUAACCAACAAAUUAAAAACAACCAACCAAAAAAGCCCCCAUUGUAAACCAAAAACAGACAAUGGAGUAUGUGGAGGGAAGGAGGAGAGAAGGCAGAGAGAAACAAAGACACUACUCAAAGAGACAGCUUGAGGAGACAAACAGGGAGCAGCUGAUUUGACAGGAAGGAGGGAGACUUACCUCCCCAAGACGUGGGGGCAGCUGAUUGUCCCGAGGGACCCGAGGAAGACAGUGGAUCCAGGUCCAACAAGGAACUGGAGAAUGAGGCAGAAAUAGAUAGAGCAUGAAAUUCACCAGCCUUUGCAGAAGACCGUUCAUGUGUGUUUCCAGACUCUCCAGGAUACUGCUGGGAGCCUGAAACAAA